CGGCGAGUGAAGCGGCAAUAGCUCAAAUUUGAAAGCUGGCCCCUUCGGGGUCCGCGUUGUAAUUUGUAGAGGAUGAUUCGGCGAGGGCUCCCGUCUAAGUCCCUUGGAACAGGGCGUCAUAGAGGGUGAGAAUCCCGUAUGUGAUGGGCUGCCUUAGCCAUGUGAAUCUCCUUCGACGAGUCGAGUUGUUUGGGAAUGCAGCUCUAAAUGGGAGGUAAAUUUCUUCUAAAGCUAAAUACCGGCCAGAGACCGAUAGCGCACAAGUAGAGUGAUCGAAAGAUGAAAAGCACUUUGGAAAGAGAGUUAAAAAGUACGUGAAAUUGUUGAAAGGGAAGCGCUUGCAGCCAGACUUGUCCGCAGUUGCUCAGCUUGUCUCCUGACAGGCGUACUCUUCUGCGGCCAGGCCAGCAUCAGUUCGGGCGGUCGGAUAAAGACCUGGGGAAUGUAGCUCCUCUCGGGGAGUGUUAUAGCCCUGGGUGCAAUGCGGCCAGCCUGGACUGAGGAUCUCGCUUCGGCUAGGAUGCUGGCGUAAUGGCUGUAAGCGGCCCGUCUUGAAACACGGACCAAGGAGUCUAACAUCUAUGCGAGUGUUUGGGUGUCAAACCCAUGCGCGUAAUGAAAGUGAACGGAGGUGGGAACCCUCACGGGUGCACCAUCGACCGAUCCUGAUGUCUUCGGAUGGAUUUGAGUAAGAGCAUAGCUGUUGGGACCCGAAAGAUGGUGAACUAUGCCUGAAUAGGGUGAAGCCAGAGGAAACUCUGGUGGAGGCUCGCAGCGGUUCUGACGUGCAAAUCGAUCGUCAAAUUUGGGUAUA
rnacentral:rRNA from 1 species